CGCGUAGGCGGGCCGUCAAGUCCGGGGUGAAAUCCUCCAGCCUAACUGGAGAAGAGCCUCGGAGACUGGCGGUCUUGAGGGGGGUAGGGGCAAGCGGAACUAUGGGUGGAGCGGUGAAAUGCAUUGAUAUCCAUAGGAACUCCGGUGGCGAAGGCGGCUUGCUGGACCCCAUCUGACGCUGAGGCGCGAAAGCCAGGGGAAGCAAACG
rnacentral:rRNA from 1 species